GAGUGACUAUUAAAGCCUGCAGCACAGUUUUAAAACAUCAUAACUGAGGCACGCUGAGAGAGUCUACUACAAUCUGACGAACCGACACAACAACUCCACCAUGAGAUUCGCCGUAAUUGUUUGUGUGGCACUCGUGCUGUUGGUUACAUACGUGAAAUGUACUAACCCAGAUGAGUUUUUGAAUGAGCGGGAAUUGCGAGAAGCGGAUGACGGCGAAGAGAUGCCAACAGAAGCUGAAAAUUCCGUUGCAGCUUUAAAGAUGAAUUUUGUGGCGUUUCUCUGUAUCUGUACAAUUAGUGUGCUGUUCCGAUAAGACGAAACAGGAGACAACGAAUGGGACAUUGCCGUGAGCAUUCAAAGACAAUGACCAUGACCAUUCCUCUCUAAUACCGUUCAGCGGAUAUAGUGCGGCUACUCUCAUGAUUGGAUGCAUUUUGCGGGCGAUUAUUCGGGGACGUAUUCAUGUAAUUCUACCUUGGCGAAUUUCAAGAAAACGUUCCCAACGCUGUGCAGUGAUGUGGUCCGUUGCAGUAUCCAUGUGACAGCGAAUUAUUCUGCAUUUCGAAUAGUUUACUAGGUAUACAGUGUAACGAUACGCACUGUACAUGUUACGUUACGUAAUCGAUGACGUCACAUAUAAUGACACAAAUGAUGGAAGUAUGCAUGAAUGACGCCAUGAUUUGAUGAAAACGGAUGUCAGGCUCAUGAUGGCACUUAAUGGACGAUGUUCUCAUAUAUAUUCAUUGCAUUGCGUAAUGUCUAUUUAUAGUUCAAACGACUCCGUGUCUGAAAACAUGACAUCUGUCGAAAAUAUUGCAAAUGUCUCGCAUUCGCAUUUCAACUGCACCAACAAUAACAUUGAUAUUUCUCGAGUAGCGAUACAGGGUAGACGUGACAUCGUUCAGGCUGCUUUUGUGUCAUUAUGGUGUUUUUUUGUUUACUACCUCCUGCAUUUUUGCAGUGAUAUAUUUAUACACUUGAUAAAUAAAAUAUAACACAAAUGAA